rnacentral:rRNA from 1 species
GAUGAACGCUGGCGGCGUGCUUAACACAUGCAAGUCGAACGGGAAUUACUUUAUUGAAACUUCGGUCGAUUUAAUUUAAUUCUAGUGGCGGACGGGUGAGUAACGCGUGGGUAACCUGCCUUGUACAGGGGGAUAACAGUCAGAAAUGACUGCUAAUACCGCAUAAGCGCACAGGACCGCAUGGUCCAGUGUGAAAAACUCCGGUGGUAUAAGAUGGACCCGCGUUGGAUUAGCUAGUUGGUGGGGUAACGGCCUACCAAGGCGACGAUCCAUAGCCGGCCUGAGAGGGUGAACGGCCACAUUGGGACUGAGACACGGCCCAGACUCCUACGGGAGGCAGCAGUGGGGAAUAUUGCACAAUGGGGGAAACCCUGAUGCAGCGACGCCGCGUGAAGGAAGAAGUAUCUCGGUAUGUAAACUUCUAUCAGCAGGGAAGAAAAUGACGGUACCUGACUAAGAAGCC